CCAGCUUAAGGAAUGGGUGGGAAUUAGUUUCAUACUGUAGAUUAGGCAGACUUGUGCUACUGCUGUCCACCCACACAUCUACAUGAUCAAAAGACAGUGCCCUUCCCACUACUAAAUUGCUGGUUACCCAUCCCUUCUUCUAUCCCUAUUGUCCCUGCUAAUUUCAGGUUCCCAAUGCCUACCUGCUGGUUGCCUGCAAUGACCUCUACAUCACUCUCCUUGUAUUCACCACUACAGCCACACUGCUUUCCAGGUCUUAUACCCACAGAGAAGUCUUUCUCAACUACUUGUCUCUCAC
rnacentral:lncRNA from 1 species